rnacentral:rRNA from 1 species
AGUGAACGCUGGCGGUAGGCCUAACACAUGCAAGUCGAACGGCAGCACAGUAAGAGCUUGCUCUUACGGGUUGCGAGUGGCGGACGGGUGAGGAAUACAUCGGAAUCUACUUUUUCGUGUGGCAUAACGUAGGGAAACUUACUCUAAUUCCGCAUACGACCUACGGGUGAAAGCAUUGGAUCUUCUGACCUUGCGCGAUUGAAUGCGCCGAUGUCGGGUUAGCUAGUUGGCUGGGUAAAGGCCCACCAAGGCGAGGAUCCGUAGCUUGUCUGAGAGGAUGGUCAGCCACACUGGAGCGGAGACAGGGUCAAGAGUCCUAAGGGAGGGAGCAGUGGGGAAUGGUGGACAAUGGGGGCAAGCAUUAUACAGUGAGACCGCGUGUGUGAAGAAGGCGCUCGGGUUGUAAAGCCCUUUUGUUGGGAGAGAACAGCAGUAGGUUAAUACCAAGCUGUUGUGACGGUAAUGAAAGAAUAAGCACCGGCUAACUUCGUG